GAGCCACAUCUCAUAUGACCAACUCCCAAGGAUUUACAGACGGGGAGCAAACUCAUGAGAUGUGAGAGUUCGGGUGAUCUUUAUCCAUUCUUCCCAAAUUUUCGAGCCAUCUCGCCAUUCGCACCAUCUGCUUUUAGUGUCAUCUCUCCUCAUAUCUGGCACUCCCGUUUAGGUCAUCCAGGGGAUGUUAUUCUUAGUUCUUUACGUAGUAGUAAUUUGAUUGAAUGUAAUAAGGCUCGAAACAAUGUUUGUCAUUCUUGCCCUCUGGGGAAAUUAAUUAAAUUGCCUUUUUAUGACUCU